AGUUGAGCGGAGAUAUAUGGAGCUUGCUUUAUAUAACUUAGCAGCGAACGGGUGAGUAACACGUAGAUAAUCUAUCCUAUACUGGGGGAUAGCCCGAUGAAAGUUGGAUUAAUACCGCAUAUAGCUAUAUAGUUGCAUGAUUAUGUAGUGAAAGAUUUAUUGGUAUAGGAGGAGUCUGCGGCACAUUAGCUAGUAGGUGAGGUAAAGGCUUACCUAGGCGACGAUGUGUAGCCGGUCUGAGAGGAUGAACGGCCACAAUGGAACUGAGACACGGUCCAUACUCCUACGGGAGGCAGCAGUGGGGAAUAUUGCACAAUGGGGGAAACCCUGAUGCAGCAACGCCGCGUGAGUGAAGAAGGUUUUCGGAUUGUAAAGCUCUGUUAGCAUGGAAGAGGAAGGACGGUACCUGCAGAGGAAGCCACGGCUAACUACGUGCCAGCAGCCGCGGUAAUACGUAGGUGGCAAGCGUUGUUCGGAAUAACUGGGCGUAAAGGAUGCGUAGGCGGUUAAACAAGUUAUAUGUUAAAUAUAUAGGCUUAACCUGUAGAAAGCAUAUAAAACUGUUUAACUAGAGUGCAGGAGAGGUAAGUGGAAUUCCUAGUGUAGCGGUGAAAUGCGUAGAGAUUAGGAAGAACACCAGUGGCGAAGGCGACUUACUGGACUGUAACUGACGCUGAGGCAUGAGAGCAUGGGGAGCAAACAGGAUUAGAUACCCUGGUAGUCCAUGCUGUAAACGAUGGGUACUAGGUGUGGGUUGUGAAUAACAAUUCGUGCCGUCG
rnacentral:rRNA from 1 species